rnacentral:tRNA from 1 species
GCCUGAGUGGCUCAGUAAGUUGAGCAUCUGACUUAGGCUCAGGUCCUGAUCUCACAGUUCAUGAGUUCAAGCCCCACAUCAGGCU